rnacentral:tRNA from 1 species
GCGUCGUUGGCGUAGAGGUUUAACGUACUGCCCACCCAAGGCAGGGACACGGGUUCGAUCCCCGUACGAUGCA